rnacentral:rRNA from 1 species
GGGAGCCGAGAGACAGGUGCUGCAUGGCUGUCGUCAGCUCGUGCCGUGAGGUGUUGGGUUAAGUCCCGUAACGAGCGCAACCCCUGCCUUUAGUUGCGACCGGUAACGCCGAGCACUCUAAAGGGACUGCCUGGGAUAACCAGGAGGAAGGCGGGGAUGACGUCAAGUCAGCAUGGCCCUUACGUCCAGGGCUACACACGUGCUACAAUGGCCGGUACAGAGGGAAGCAAUACCGCGAGGUGGAGCAAAUCCCAUAAAGCCGGCCUCAGUUCAGAUCGGAGGCUGCAACUCGCCUCCGUGAAGGCGGAAUCGCUAGUAAUCGCGGAUCAGCAGGCCGCGGUGAAUACGUUCCCGGGCCUU